UACAGAGGUCUCAAGCGUUGUUCGGAUUCAUUGGGCGUAAAGGGUGCGUAGGCGGCGCGGUGAGUCGGGUGUGAAAUCUCGGAGCUUAACUCCGAAACUGCAUUCGAUACUGCCGUGCUUGAGGACUGGAGAGGAGACUGAAAUUUACGGUGUAGCGGUGAAAUGCGUAGAUAUCGAGAGGAACACCUGCGGCGAAGGCGGGUUGCUGGGCUGACACUGACGCUGAGGCGCGAAAGCCAGGGGAGCGAACGGG
rnacentral:rRNA from 1 species